UACGGGGGGGGCAAGCGUUGUUCGGAAUUACUGGGCGUAAAGGGCUCGUAGGCGGCCAACUAAGUCAGACGUGAAAUCCCUCGGCUUAACCGGGGAAUGGCGUCUGAUACUGGAUGGCUUGAGUCCGGGAGAGGGAUGCGGAAUUCCAGGUGUAGCGGUGAAAUGCGUAGAUAUCUGGAGGAACACCGGUGGCGAAGGCGGCAUCCUGGACCGGCACUGACGCUGAGGAGCGAAAGCCAGGGGAGCAAACGGG
rnacentral:rRNA from 1 species